AGGGAAACUUACGCUAAUACCGCAUACGUCCUAAGGGAGAAAGCGGGGGACCGAAAGGCCUCGCGCGGUUGGACGAACCGAUGUGCGAUUAGCUAGUUGGUAGGGUAAUGGCCUACCAAGGCGACGAUCGCUAGCUGGUCUGAGAGGAUGAUCAGCCACACUGGAACUGAGACACGGUCCAGACUCCUACGGGAGGCAGCAGUGGGGAAUAUUGGACAAUGGGCGCAAGCCUGAUCCAGCAAUGCCGCGUGUGUGAAGAAGGCCUUCGGGUUGUAAAGCACUUUUAUCAGGAGCGAAAUACUACUGGCUAAUAACCGGUGGGGCUGACGGUACCUGAGGAAUAAGCACCGGCUAACUUCGUGCCAGCAGCCGCGGUAAUACGAAGGGUGCAAGCGUUAAUCGGAAUUACUGGGCGUAAAGCGUGCGUAGGCGGUUAUUUAAGUCUGUUGUGAAAUCCCCGGGCUCAACCUGGGAAUGGCAAUGGAUACUGGAUAGCUAGAGUGUGAUAGAGGAUGGUGGAAUUCCCGGUGUAGCGGUGAAAUGCGUAGAGAUCGGGAGGAACAUCAGUGGCGAA
rnacentral:rRNA from 1 species